AGCUUUGCAGAGUGGCAAUAUUGUAGCCAAUGAGGUUUAUCUGAGGGGUGAUUACUGCUAAUUGAAAACUUUUCCAGUACCCUGCUGUGGCAACCUGAAAUGUUAUAUUUUUUCAUCCACUGUAUGGA
ensembl:snRNA U4 U4 spliceosomal RNA